GACGAAGGGGGCUAGCGUUGUUCGGAAUUACUGGGCGUAAAGCGCGUGUAGGCGGUUGUCCAAGUUGGAUGUGAAAGCCUUGAGCUUAACUCAAGAAAUGCAUUCAGGACUGGAUGACUAGAGGACCGGAGAGGAUAGUGGAAUUCCCAGUGUAGUGGUGAAAUACGUAGAGAUUGGGAAGAACACCAGUGGCGAAGGCGGCUAUCUGGACGGUUUCUGACGC
rnacentral:rRNA from 1 species